rnacentral:rRNA from 1 species
GCCACUGCUAUUGGGGUUCGGCUAAGCCAUGCGAGUGGAGGGCGUCCCGCAAGGGAUGGCCCCGCAGACGGCUCAGUAACACGUCGUCAACCCACCUUAGGGUGGGGGACAACCUCGGGAAAUUGAGGAUAAUCCCCCAUAGGCGGGGGAGGCUGGAAUGCGCCCCCGCUGAAAGCUCAGACGCCCUAGGACGGGACGGCGGCCUAUCAGGUAGUUGGUGGUGUGACG